AUGGCGGGCGUGCUGCUCCUCCUCAUCCUCAUGCCGGCGUCGGCGUCGGCGAUCGGGAUCGUCUGCGGCAGCGGCGGCAACUACACGGCCAACAGCACCUACCAUUCCAACCUGGCCGUGCUCAACGCCACCCUCCCCGCAAACACCUCCUCCUCCCCGCAGCUCUUCCUCACCGCUACUGCAAACGCCACGGCCAACUCGACGGCCGGCGUGGUGCGUGCGCUCGCGCUCUGCCGACACGACACCACCAACCUCACCGCGUGCAGGGAGUGCGUCGCCUCCUCCUUCAGCUACGCGCAGAAGAUGUGCCCCAACCACACGGCCGCCACCGUCUACUACGACUACGACGAGACCAACGCCUUACAACCAGGGUGCCUCCUCGGCUUCUCCGGCGACCGCGACUUCCUCAGCCCCGCGUCCGGCACCACCGGUAACGGUACCUUCUUCCAGUAUUUCAACACGGUGACGUCCAUCCCCGGCAACGCCGGCGUCGUCGCUGCCGCCGUCCGCCAGCUCCUGGGGCAGACGGCGCGCUACGCGGCCGCCGCAGCCAGGAGGUUCGCCACAGGGUUCAUGGACUCCAUUGGCCCCGGCACCACGACAACGCUCUACUCCCUGGCGCAGUGCACGCCGGACCUGUCUGCCGGCGACUGCCUGGCGUGCCUCCAGCGUCUCGUGGGCUCCAUCAACGCCACCAACUCCGUGCGCCUCGGUGGCCGGAUCUUCCGGCUCCGCUGCAACGUCAGGUUCGAAGCGUUCAUGUUCUUCGACGACAAGAACAUACAGCGGAUUCCAUCUCCAUCAUCCCUGGCUCAGGCACCGGCGCCGGCUCCGGCUCCGGCAGGCAAGAGACAUGGAGUCAAACCUUGGGUAAUCGCCUUAUCGGUGGCUGCUUCUGUGGCACUAGUUGCACUCUGUUUCAUCGUCUACUGUCUUCGGCGGCUUAGAAUAAAGAACACAAAAGGUAAAGGGAAACGUCCUCACGAGUUUCAAGAAGGAGAUGAAGUUUGGGAAAUGGAAGCAGAGCUGUCUGAGUUUGCAGUAUUUGACUUUAACCAGAUAUUAGAGGCUACUGAUAACUUUUCCGAGGAAAACAAACUUGGCGAAGGUGGAUUUGGCCCUGUUUAUAAGGGCCGCUUUCCUGAUGGAGUGGAGAUAGCAGUUAAGAGACUUGAUUCGGAUUCAGGACAAGGUUUCAUAGAGUUCAAAAAUGAAGUUGAGCUCAUAGCCAAACUGCAACACAGGAAUUUGGUUAGGCUCAUGGGAUGUUGCUCUCAAGGAGAGGAGAAAAUACUGGUCUAUGAAUACUUGCCAAACAAAAGCUUGGACUUCUUUAUCUUUGAUGAAGAUAGAAAAGCUCUAUUGGACUGGAACAAACGCAUUGCGAUAAUUGUAGGAACAGCAGAAGGACUUCUUUACCUACAUAAGCACUCUAGGUUGCGUGUUAUACAUCGUGAUCUUAAACCAAGCAACAUUCUUUUGGAUGGCGAAAUGAAUGCUAAAAUAUCAGAUUUUGGAUUAGCAAAAAUAUUCAGCUCAAAUAACACCGACACAAAUACUACAAGAAAAGUGGUUGGUACAUAUGGCUACAUGGCACCUGAGUAUGCAUCCCACGGCAUUUUCUCUAUCAAAUCGGAUGUAUUCAGCUUUGGUGUUUUAACUCUCGAGAUCGUUAGCGGGAAGAGGAAUUCCCAUGAAUGCGGAGCUUUCAUCAACCUCCUUGGACAUGCUUGGCAAUUAUUUGAAGAGGAAAGCUGGGGCGAACUCAUUGAUGCAGCAUUGGUUCCCAACAUUUAUUCGACAGAAAUGAUGAGGUGCAUUAACAUUGCAUUGUUGUGUGUACAAGAGAAUGCAGUUGAUCGACCGACCAUGUUGGAUGUAAUUGCAAUGCUAAGCAACAAGAGCAUGAUCUUACAAAAGCCUAAGCACCCAGCAUAUUUCAGCUUAAGCACGGCAGGGAACAAAGAAGCACCCACUACUACUAAGUCUUGUAGUGUAAAUGAUGUCACUAUAUCUACGGUGACGCCUAGAUAG
rnacentral:rRNA from 1 species